rnacentral:miRNA from 15 species
UAAGUAGGUUAUAGACCGCUGA